rnacentral:misc_RNA from 1 species
AAAAAAGCAAUGCAACUGCUAAGGGAAGUCACCACAUAUAUGCAGUAUUGGUUGGUUUAUUCUCAUCAAUUACUGGUGGAAUCAGUUACUGCCUUAUAAAGGCUGGAGCAAAGGCAUCUGAUCAACCUGUGGCCACUGUUUUUUCAUUUGGCUUACUCUCUAGCCCUGCUGCGGGAAUAUGUACAUUUGCUUUUGAGGAAUUUGUGGUGCCAGAUUUUUAUUCAUUCACUUUUAUGCUUCUACUGGGU